ensembl:lncRNA
AGACUCUUGUCCCCUCCACCUCAGAAUCCAGUGACUCCUCUUUGAAUGAGACUCAUCUGCAGCAGACUGAAGUGGAUAGGAGGCAGUGGAAUCCAUUUCACUCUAUCCCUCAGGAUUUGAGCAAUGUUGACGGGGACUCUAAGAAGCGUGAUUUAGAGGUUCUGAAUGAGCCGGGUUUAGCCACCAUCUUUGCACCUCCUCUUGAGUUUCAGAGCACACAACAGGACUUCAACUCUGACCAACAACAGGCUGAUGGUAACCUUCCCACUAUACCAUCUGAGACAUACAAUUUUAAAAACAUGUCUGAAAGAUUAUCACCAGAUCUUUU